rnacentral:misc_RNA from 1 species
AAGUUUGAGAAAUGAUUCAGCUGAGAGAAUUGACGGAAUUAGAUCGGAAGUGAUUCUGAAUAGAUCGAGGAGAAAUUGAGAGUAAAGGGUUUAAGCGGAUUUAGCGAUUGGGACGACGAGGUGAAUACAGCUUUCAUCUUCUCCCAUGAAUGAAUGUAUAGCAACAUAGUAGACCUCUCAUCUUCUCUCCAAAACAUACCAAAUUCAGUUCGAUCAAACACGAAAUCAAAUCGAUUUUUCAAAAUUGAACGAACAGACAAAACCAGAUGAA